rnacentral:rRNA from 1 species
AGCGAACGCUGGCGGCGUGCUUAACACAUGCAAGUCGCGCGCGAAAGAGGCUUUCGGGUCUUGAGUAGAGCGGCGCACGGGUGCGUAAGACGCGGGUGACCUAUCCACGAGGUGGGGAUAACCCUUCGAAAGAGGGGCGUAAUACCGGAUGAGCCCACAGGCAGAGAUGCUAGGGGGCGAAAGGUAGCGAUUACUAAGCGCAUCUCUUCGUGGCGGGGCCCGA